ACGGGAGGCAGCAGUAAGGAAUAUUGGUCAAUGGACGAAAGUCUGAACCAGCCAUGCCGCGUGGAGGAUGAAGGUCCUCUGGAUUGUAAACUUCUUUUAUAUGGGACGAAAAAAGGCUUUUCUAAGUCGUCUGACGGUACCAUAUGAAUAAGCACCGGCUAACUCCGUGCCAGCAGCCGCGGUAAUACGGAGGGUGCAAGCGUUAUCCGGAUUCACUGGGUUUAAAGGGUGCGUAGGUGGGUUGGUAAGUCAGUGGUGAAAUCCCCGAGCUUAACUUGGGAACUGCCAUUGAUACUAUCAGUCUUGAAUAUCGUGGAGGUUAGCGGAAUAUGUCAUGUAGCGGUGAAAUGCUUAGAUAUGACAUAGAACACCAAUUGCGAAGGCAGCUGGCUACACGAAUAUUGACACUGAGGCACGAAAGCGUGGGGAUCAAACAGGAUUAGAUACCCUGGUA
rnacentral:rRNA from 1 species